AACGAACGCUGGCGGCAGGCUUAACACAUGCAAGUCGAACGCAUCCUUCGGGGUGAGUGGCAGACGGGUGAGUAACGCGUGGGAACGUGCCCUUCAGUUCGGGAUAACCCAGGGAAACUUGGGCUAAUACCGGAUACGUGCGAGAGCAGAAAGAUUUAUCGCUGAAGGAUCGGCCCGCGUCUGAUUAGCUAGUUGGUGGGGUAAUGGCCCACCAAGGCGACGAUCAGUAGCUGGUCUGAGAGGAUGAUCAGCCACAUUGGGACUGAGACACGGCCAAAACUCCUGCGGGAGGCAGCAGUGGGGAAGAUUGGACAAUGGGCGCAAGCCUGAUCCAGCCAUGCCGCGUGAGUGAUGAAGGCCUUAGGGUUGUAAAGCUCUUUCGUCCGGGACGAUAAUGACGGUACCGGAAGAAGAAGCCCCGGCUAACUUCGUGCCAGCCGCCGCCGUAA
rnacentral:rRNA from 1 species